rnacentral:rRNA from 1 species
UUUUAUGGAGAGUUUGAUCCUGGCUCAGAGUGAACGCUGGCGGCGUGCCUAAUACAUGCAAGUCGAACGAUGAAGCUUCUAGCUUGCUAGAGUGCUGAUUAGUGGCGCACGGGUGAGUAACGCAUAGGUCAUGUGCCUCUUAGUUUGGGAUAGCCAUUGGAAACGAUGAUUAAUACCAGAUACUCCCUACGGGGGAAAGAUUUAUCGCUAAGAGAUCAGCCUAUGUCCUAUCAGCUUGUUGGUAAGGUAAUGGCUUACCAAGGCUAUGACGGGUAUCCGGCCUGAGAGGGUGAACGGACACACUGGAACUGAGACACGGUCCAGACUCCUACGGGAGGCAGCAGUAGGGAAUAUUGCUCAAUGGGGGAAACCCUGAAGCAGCAACGCCGCGUGGAGGAUGAAGGUUUUAGGAUUGUAAACUCCUUUUGUUAGAGAAGAUAAUGACGGUAUCUAACGAAUAAGCACCGGCUAACUCCGUGCCAGCAGCCGCGGUAAUACGGAGGGUGCAAGCGUUACUCGGAAUCACUGGGCGUAAAGAGCGCGUAGGCGGGAUAGUCAGUCAGGUGUGAAAUCCUAUGGCUUAACCAUAGAACUGCAUUUGAAACUACUAUUCUAGAGUGUGGGAGAGGUAGGUGGAAUUCUUGGUGUAGGGGUAAAAUCCGUAGAGAUCAAGAGGAAUACUCAUUGCGAAGGCGACCUGCUGGAACAUUACUGACGCUGAUUGCGCGAAAGCGUGGGGAGCAAACAGGAUUAGAUACCCUGGUAGUCCACGCCCUAAACGAUGGAUGCUAGUUGUUGGAGGGCUUAGUCUCUCCAGUAAUGCAGCUAACGCAUUAAGCAUCCCGCCUGGGGAGUACGGUCGCAAGAUUAAAACUCAAAGGAAUAGACGGGGACCCGCACAAGCGGUGGAGCAUGUGGUUUAAUUCGAGGAUACACGAAGAACCUUACCUAGGCUUGACAUUGAGAGAAUCCGCUAGAAAUAGUGGAGUGUCUGGCUUGCCAGACCUUGAAAACAGGUGCUGCACGGCUGUCGUCAGCUCGUGUCGUGAGAUGUUGGGUUAAGUCCCGCAACGAGCGCAACCCCCUUUCUUAGUUGCUAACAGGUCAUGCUGAGAACUCUAAGGAUACUGCCUCCGUAAGGAGGAGGAAGGUGGGGACGACGUCAAGUCAUCAUGGCCCUUACGCCUAGGGCUACACACGUGCUACAAUGGGGUGCACAAAGAGAAGCAAUACUGCGAAGUGGAGCCAAUCUUCAAAACAUCUCUCAGUUCGGAUUGUAGGCUGCAACUCGCCUGCAUGAAGCUGGAAUCGCUAGUAAUCGCAAAUCAGCCAUGUUGCGGUGAAUACGUUCCCGGGUCUUGUACUCACCGCCCGUCACACCAUGGGAGUUGUGUUUGCCUUAAGUCAGGAUGCUAAACUAGCUACUGCCCACGGCACACACAGCGACUGGGGUGAAGUCGUAACAAGGUAACCGUAGGUGAACCUGCGGUUGGAUCACCUCCUUUCUAGA